rnacentral:rRNA from 1 species
AGUGAACGCUGGCGGUAUGCCUAACACAUGCAAGUCGAACGGCAGCACAGUAAGAGCUUGCUCUUACGGGUGGCGAGUGGCGGACGGGUGAGGAAUACAUCGGAAUCUACUUUUUCGUGGGGGAUAACGGAGGGAAACUUACGCUAAUACCGCAUAUGACCUACGGGUGAAAGCAGUGGAUCUUCGGACCUUGCGCGAUUGAAUGAGCCGAUGUCGGAUUAGCUAGUUGGCGGGGUAAAGGCCCACCAAGGCGACGAUACGUAGCUGGUCUGAGAGGAUGAUCAGCCACACUGGAACUGAGACACGGUCCAGACUCCUACGGGAGGCAGCAGUGGGGAAUAUUGGACAAUGGGCGCAAGCCUGAUCCAGCCAUACCGCGUGUGUGAAGAAGGCCUUCGGGUUGUAAAGCCCUUUUGUUGGGAAAGAACAGCAGCAGGUUAAUACCCCGCUGUUCUGACGGUACCCAAAGAAUAAGCACCGGCUAACUUCGUG